ensembl:lncRNA LINC02968 long intergenic non-protein coding RNA 2968
UUUGCCUGGGUUUGCACGUGAUCCAGCAAACCACCCACCGACCCGUUGCCUCAUGUGAGACAUCCUCAGGGAACAGCAAGAAUUUUGAAGGUCCCUGAUAAGACAUCUUUGAGGUCAGGCAUAAAUCAUCACUUCACAUCUUGACGGCAAUGCAACGAAGACAAGUAUCUGUCUCUUUGGGUCUGUCUAACAAGGAGCAAAGCCUGGCCUCCCACCAGCAUCCAGACAAUAGUGGAUUCCCUCUCCAUAGAUGUCAAAAAAGAAACAGAUGCUCCCGCAGGUGAAAUGAGCUCUGGUCCACAAUGCAACGCAGGCUGUGCAGAAAAUCAAAGAGGAACCAACCCAGAAGUAUCCCCCAGGACAAAUCAUUAAGGGGGAAAAGAUAUAAGAAGGGCCCUAAAUGCAAUGACAGCUGUUCUAAGAGACAGAAGAGGAGACGCAGACACAGAGGAGAAGGCCACGUGUAGACAGAGGCAGAGACUGCAGUGAUGUGGCCACAAGCCCAGGGAUGCCUGGAGCCCCCAGGAGCUGGGAGAGGCAGGAAGGAUCCUCCUCUAGAGCCUCCAGAAGGAACUGGAUACAAUUGGAAUGGGUUAUAUGGUGAUCCCCAAAAUAUAUGUUUAUUUCCUUUUCCCC